rnacentral:ncRNA from 12 species
GGGCUUUGAGGUGGUAGAUUCCGUACCGACCACACGCCGACGGUAUUGACAGGGGCAACCCGAGAGAUGCAGGAGAAUGGUACGCCUGCCAAAGUCC